GUAGGGAAUCUUCCACAAUGGGCGCAAGCCUGAUGGAGCAACACCGCGUGAGUGAAGAAGGGUUUCGGCUCGUAAAACUCUGUUGUUAAAGAAGAACGUAUCUAAGAGUAACUGCUUAGGUAGUGACGGUAUUUAACCAGAAAGCCACGGCUAACUACGUGCCAGCAGCCGCGGUAAUACGUAGGUGGCAAGCGUUAUCCGGAUUUAUUGGGCGUAAAGCGAGCGCAGGCGGUUUUUUAAGUCUGAUGUGAAAGCCUUCGGCUUAACCGAAGAAGUGCAUCGGAAACUGGGAAACUUGAGUGCAGAAGAGGACAGUGGAACUCCAUGUGUAGCGGUGAAAUGCGUAGAUAUAUGGAAGAACACCAGUGGCGAAGGCGGCUGUCUGGUCUGUAACUGACGCUGAGGCUCGAAAGCAUGGGUAGCGAACAGGAUUAGAUACCCUGGUAGUCC
rnacentral:rRNA from 1 species